rnacentral:rRNA from 1 species
AGAGUUUGAUCAUGGCUCAGAUUGAACGCUGGCGGCAGGCCUAACACAUGCAAGUCGAGCGGUAGCACAGGGAGCUUGCUCCUGGGUGACGAGCGGCGGACGGGUGAGUAAUGUCUGGGAAACUGCCUGAUGGAGGGGGAUAACUACUGGAAACGGUAGCUAAUACCGCAUAACGUCGCAAGACCAAAGAGGGGGACCUUCGGGCCUCUUGCCAUCAGAUGUGCCCAGAUGGGAUUAGCUAGUUGGUGAGGUAACGGCUCACCAAGGCGACGAUGCGUAGCCGACCUGAGAGGGUGAUCGGCCACAUUGGGACUGAGACACGGUCCAGACUCCUACGGGAGGCAGCAGUGGGGAAUAUUGCACAAUGGGCGCAAGCCUGAUGCAGCCAUGCCGCGUGUAUGAAGAAGGCCUUCGGGUUGUAAAGUACUUUCAGCGAGGAGGAAGGCAUUGUGGUUAAUAACCGCAGUGAUUGACGUUACUCGCAGAAGAAGCACCGGCUAACUCCGUGCCAGCAGCCGCGGUAAUACGGAGGGUGCAAGCGUUAAUCGGA